UACGUAGGGGGCAAGCGUUGUCCGGAUUUAUUGGGCGUAAAGAGCGUGUAGGCGGCCUGACAAGUCUGCUGUGAAAACUCGAGGCUCAACCUCGAGAUGUCGGCGGAAACUGUCUGGCUAGAGUCCGGAAGAGGCGAGUGGAAUUCCUGGUGUAGCGGUGAAAUGCGCAGAUAUCAGGAGGAACACCUAUGGCGAAGGCAGCUCGCUGGGACGGUACUGACGCUGAGACGCGAAAGCGUGGGGAGCGAACAGG
rnacentral:rRNA from 1 species